CUUAGCAAUAGGCUUUUAGCCAGGUAUAUGUCCCACAUUCCCCAGCCUCUCUUGCAGCCAGGCAUAGCUAUUUGAAUGUCAAACCUAAUGUGUGUGCAACUUCCAGGGAGUGUCCUUAAAGAGAGGGCUGAUACAUUUCUUCCCUGUUUUGUCCUUCCUGUGGUCUGGAAUACAGAGUGAUGGCUGGAGCUGAGGCAGCCAUUUUUAACCAUGAAGUGAUGUCGGGAAUGAUGGCAGAGCAGAAAGAUAGAAGGAGUCUCCUUCCCUUAGGACUGUUGAGGGGCAAUUCUCCAUGGCAUUCUUAUACCUCUUGUGACACCUUUUGUGUGGAACCAUCUUUUCAAGGAUGUUUGUAUGACAAAUAGCCUGGGGGAGCAGGAAUAGUGUCUCACUCUGGAGCAGAGGACAGAUUUAUUUCCUGACCAGGAUUAUAAAGAUCCACCUGGGCCUCCUGCUCCAGCCCCACGGAACUUAGGAGGCAAGUAAACCAGAGCAAAGAUAAAGCUUGAGCUGCCUCCCGUGUUGUGAGUAAUAAAGUCCUUUGUCUCUGA
rnacentral:lncRNA from 1 species